CGUUUUGGUGCCUGAGAAGGCUGCCCAAAACGACGUCGUUUUGGAAGCCUAUUUAAGCCAAUUUUCUAGAAAAAAAAAUUCAUUUGCCUUGUUAUUUCAGAAAAACUUAAAAGUUCUCUCCCCCUCCCCUCUUUCAGUCCAAACUCCGGCCUAAGGUCCGGCCAUGGGCCACUUUGCCGGCCGCCGGUCGCCGGUGCCGGCGCCGCCGUGCGCGACGGCGGGGAGACCAAAAGUCUCCCUUUUUUCCGCCGAAUGGUCUCCUCGUCCUCCUGAUCGCUCCGACGUCGGUAAAAGAGGGUGAUUGACAGGCAAGUGGGCGAGUUGGUGGCGGUGGGUGGUGUCAGAAGGGCAGGUGGCUGUGACUUGCGGCGCUGGAGGCUGAAGACCUAGGUGGCUAGGGUUUCUUCUUUUUCUUUGAUUUGGUGUUGGGCUGCUGUUGGGUUUGGGGGUAGUUGGGCUUAGGUUUAGUUAUUGGGCCUAUUGGGCCCGGGUGAAAAUGGGUCGUACACGUUAAUAUCAAAAAUUGUACAAAAAUUAAUGAAAAUCAAGAUUUAUAUAUAAAAUUGUAGAUUAAAUUAAAUUAAA